CAGAGAGAUGGAAAGACAUCAAAGAAUGGGCAGGUCUGCCAAGAAAUGGUUUAUCCAGGGCUAAGUACAGAGAGGAAUAUAGAAGGGCUGUUGACAGAUCUUGUGUGGUGCCCCCAUGGUUCAACAGACUAAUUGAUUGGUAAUGAAAAUAAUACCAGGGUUAUGCUCCUUUGACCAUUGAGUUCCAGGAUGAAGAAUGAAAGACAGAGAGCAAUGUGAAGACAUGAAAAAAUGGGCAGGUCUGCCAUGAAAUGGUUUAUCCAGGGCUAAGUACAGAGAGGAAUAUAGAAGGGCUGUUGACAGAUCUUGUGUGGUGCCCCCAUGGUUCAACAGACUAAUUGAUUGGUAAUGAAAAUAAUACCAGGGUUAUGCUCCUUUGACCAUUGAGUUCCAGGAUGAAGAAUGAAAGACAGAGAGCAAUGUGAAGACAUGAAAGAAUGGGCAGGUCUGCCAUGAAAUGGUUUAUCCAGGGCUAAGUACAGAGAGGAAUAUAGAAGGGCUGUUGACAGAUCUUGUGUGGUGCCCCCAUGGUUCAACAGACUGAUUGAUAG